rnacentral:piRNA from 1 species
AGAAGGCGAUACUGGAGAAAUAGGAUCUCA